AACGAACGCUGGCGGCAGGCAUAACACAUGCAAGUCGAACACCCCGCAAGGGGAGUGGCGCACGGGUGAGUAACGCGUGGGAAUAUGCCCUUCGGUUCGGAAUCACACAGGGAAAGUUGUGCAAAUACCGGAUACGAUCUACGGAUGAAAGAUUUAUCGCCGAGGGAAUAGCCGGCGUAGGGUGAGCUAGUUGGUGAGGUAACGGCUCACCAAGGUGACGAUCCUUAGCUGGUCUGAGAGGAGGAUCAGCCACACUGCAGCUGAGACACGGCCCAGUCGCUGACGGCAGUCAACAGAGGGAAAUAUUGGACAAUGAGAAAAACUCUAAUCCAACCAUGCCGUGUGAGAGAACAAGCCCUUAGGUUUGUAAAGCUCUUUCGCCAGGCAAGAUAAUGACGGGACCUGGAAAAGAAGACUCGGCUAACUCCGUGCCAGCAGCCGCCGUAACAC
rnacentral:rRNA from 1 species